CCAUGGUGAUGCCUGAGCAGACAAUACUCCCUCCGUCUCCAUUCCGCGCACUCAUCCACCCGCCCACUGCAGUCUCAGCAACCUGUAUGUUUGCUAAGGCGCCUGUCCUCUGACGCCAUCGGAUUAGAAAAUAUGAGCGGUCCCACAAAAAGAAGCAGAGCACCUUGUAUGAAUAACACCAUUUCUACAGUGGGCGUGACACAAAGGCAACACAACCAGAGAACCGAUAUGAGUCCCUUUAUUAUCACCAACUGUGCCCUCAAUGUCCCUUUCAACUCUCCGGCCUGGAGACAGCUCUUCCAUCAACCUGUAAUAGUCUUUGGCUGGCGAUACUUCAGUCCCAAAUGCUGUAAGCAGAAAACUUCUAACAAAAAAUCCAAAGGCAAGACAAGAUAUUGUCUGCUUCAGUUUUAAAUCCCUUUUCCAGCAAUAUGAAGACAACCACAAUGGAUCAAUACAUUUCUUGAAACUUGGGUAAAAUAUAAAAACAGGAAAAGUAAGGAUAAUAAAAUGCCCA